GAUUAACGCUGGCGGCGUGCAUAACACAUGCAAGUCGAACGAUGAAACUUAACUGAUUUCUUCGGAAUGAUUUUAAGUGGAUUAGUGGCGGACGGGUGAGUAACGCGUGAGUAACCUGCCUUGGAGAAGGGGAUGGCCUUUGGAAACGAAGAAUAAUACCCUAUGAUAUGAUAAUAUCUCAUGAUAUUAUCAUCAAAGAUUUAUCGCUCUAAGAUGGACUUGCGUCUGAUUAGUUAGUUGGUGAGGUAACAGCUCACCAAGGCAGCGAUCAGUAGCCGGCUUGAGAGAGUGUACGGCCACAUUGGGACUGAGACACGGCCCAGACUCCUACGGGAGGCAGCAGUGGGGAAGUUUGCACAAUGGGGGAAACCCUGAUGCAGCGACGCCGCGUGAUUUAGAAGGCCUUCGGGUUGUAAAAAUCUUUUGUAUGGGAAGAAAAUGACAGUACCAUACGAAUAAGGACCGGCUAAUUACGUG
rnacentral:rRNA from 1 species